GAUGAACGCUGGCGGCGUGCCUAAUACAUGCAAGUCGAGCGAACGGACGAGAAGCUUGCUUCUCUGAUGUUAGCGGCGGACGGGUGAGUAACACGUGGAUAACCUACCUAUAAGACUGGGAUAACUUCGGGAAACCGGAGCUAAUACCGGAUGAUAUUUUGAACCGCAUGGUUCAAAAGUGAAAGACGGUCUUGCUGUCACUUAUAGAUGGAUCCGCGCUGCAUUAGCUAGUUGGUAAGGUAACGGGUUACCAAGGCAACGAUGCAUAGCCGACCUGAGAGGGUGAUCGGCCACACUGGAACUGAGACACGGUCCAGACUCCUACGGGAGGCAGCAGUAGGGAAUCUUCCGCAAUGGGCGAAAGCCUGGCGGAGCAACGCCGCGUGAGUGAUGAAGGUCUUCGGAUCGUAAAACUCUGUUAUUAGGGAAGAACAUAUGUGUAAGUAACUGUGCACAUCUUGACGGUACCUAAUCAGAAAGCCACGGCUAACUACGUG
rnacentral:rRNA from 1 species